rnacentral:rRNA from 1 species
GCCCCAGACUCCUACGGGAGGCAGCAGUGGGGAAUAUUGCACAAUGGGGGGAACCCUGAUGCAGCGACGCCGCGUGAGGGAAGACGGUCUUCGGAUUGUAAACCUCUGUCUUUGGGGAAGAAGAUGACGGUACCCAAAGAGGAAGCUCCGGCUAACUACGUGCCAGCAGCCGCGGUAAUACGUAGGGGGCAAGCGUUAUCCGGAUUUACUGGGUGUAAAGGGAGCGUAGACGGCAGUGCAAGUCCGGAGUGAAAGCCCGGGGCUCAACCCUGGGACUGCUCUGGAAACUGUAAAGCUGGAGUGCGGGAGGGGCAGGCGGAAUUCCUGGUGUAGCGGUGAAAUGCGUAGAUAUCAGGAGGAACACCGGCGGCGAAGGCGGCCUGCUGGACCGUAACUGACGUUGAGGCUCAAAAGCGUGGGGAGCAAACAGGAUUAGAUACCCCAGUACG